UAGGAUACCAUGGAUGUCUGUGAGGGUC
rnacentral:piRNA from 1 species